GGAACUAGUCAAACAAUCCUCCGGUUAGAUUGUUUCCCCGGUACAACUAGGUAUUUGGUCAUAUUUAUAUUAUAUAUAUAUAUAUAUCUCUUAUAUUAUUUAUAUAUUUACAUAUGUAUUUAACUAUUCAUUCAUUCUUGUUUUUUUUUCGGUGAGGAUACUUCCUUGCCGGUCGUGCCAAUGGGUACGCUUUCGAGAGUUUGGUUUGGGACUUAUAAUAUUUAAUUGGUGGGUUUGGUUAGUGUUCUGUUUGGAUUUCGGACUUGGCAUCCGG
rnacentral:lncRNA from 1 species